AUGCAGCUGUGGACCCUAGAGGGCGCGAAGGACGCACUGGGCGACAAGGUCGUCAUCGACCGCCUCAACAGCCGCACUUUCGAGCGCGCGGACACGAAGCUCUUCGCCGUCUGGGUGUGGGUGUGGCAGCUCCACCACAUCCCCACCAAGCGGACGCUGUGGAAGCACACGAGAGGCGCUGGCCGGGUGGAGGAGAUGCUCGGCUUCUCGCCGCCGAGCCGGGCGGUCGCGCCACCACCCAACCUGCUUCGCUAGGACGUUCUGGUGCACAUCGACCGCGUUGAAGACUGGACGCCCCUGUCCCCCCGCUCCUCCCACUCCAGGCAGAGCGUCCUCCCCUCCUCCAACAACGACGAUCGCCCGUACCCGCGCUACCCCCACGCGGGGGGCUGGGUGUCUGGUGUGGAGGACGGCAGGCCAUCGCAGGACCAGGGGCCACGCCUGCGCCCUCCCGCGCAGGUGGCAUCCUCGGGCUGCAAGGGCAUGCCCUCGGCGGGCCACAGGCGCGGCCACGACGGCGACGAUAGCGGCAGCCAGAGGAGAUCCUGGAAGGACACGCUCCUCAGGCGGAGUCGCGGCAAGGAGCCGGCCGCGCUCCCCUCCCUCGACGGAGCGUCACCGUAG
rnacentral:rRNA from 1 species